rnacentral:rRNA from 1 species
GACGAACCGUGCGACCGUUGUUCGGAUUCACUGGGCUUAAAGGGCGCGUAGGCGGACCGCCAAGUCAGGGGUGAAAGCCCCCGGCCCAACCGGGGAAGUGCCUUUGAGACUGGCGGUCUCGAGCGGGAUAGGGGCAGCUGGAACUUCCGGUGGAGCGGUGAAAUGCGUAGAUAUCCGGAGGAAUACCAAAGGCGAAGGCAGUGUCCUGGCUGGCAUCUGACGCUGAGGCGCGAAAGCUAGGGGAGCGAACAGG